rnacentral:lncRNA from 1 species
CUUAAAAUAGAUUUUUAAAUAGGGACAUAAUAGGCAAACCAAAUUUUGUAAAACAAGGCUCUUUUAUAAUAGGUAUAGAUUAUUGUCCAAAUUCAUUUAUUCUACCAUCCCAAAAAACACAUAUCCAUCCACUAUCAAGGGCUCUAAUAUAUCCCUUCAUUUUCACUCUUUAGGUGUGUGAACUUGGUUCAAUUAACUAUUGUUGGUCUUUUUCAUUGUAACCUAAAAUAUAGCUUGUAGUAGUAGUAGUAAAAUAUAUUCCUUAUUUUUGGUCACUUUCCUUGGCAGCAAGCUAUUGUAGUAGUAGUGUUAUUUAGUGU